UUUCCGUAGGUGAACCUGCGGAAGGAUCAUUACAGGACUCGCAAGACUCCUACAACCCUGUGAACUUAACUAUAAGCACGUUGCUUCGGCGGGUGUCUCGGAGGGGGUUCUCCCUCCCCGAGACGCUAAACCCGCCGGCAGCCUACUAUACUCUGUCUCUUUGCGUUGGCAUCUCGAGUACAAUCAAACAAGUUAAAACUUUCAACAACGGAUCUCUUGGUUCUG
rnacentral:misc_RNA from 1 species